rnacentral:misc_RNA from 1 species
GGAAAUUCUUUUAUCAGUUGCAUUUUAAGUGGCCUUAUUACUAUAAAUUAUAAUGUAAUUUCUUACUAUGUAUUUAACUGGAAAUAGACACUGUCUAUGGUACUGUUCAGUAAUAUUGGUUCUCAAGUGCUGCGUCUUAACAUUGUAUGCAUAUGUGAAUGAAGUUAUUCACAAAUUAUCUGCAACUUUGCUGGUCUAAUUAUCUUUGAUUAUAAUUCAUAUUUCAUAUGGUUCCUUUCUGUAGUUUUCCUUGGUUUGAAAAUGUGUAUCAACUAGCUCAUAUUUGAAGCAAAUGCUAUCUCUGUUUGAUCUUCUGAAAUUUCCCUUUAUGAAGUUGAUCCUACCCUAGGCAAAAAAAAAAUUCGUAUCCCUUUUAAAUCACACAAGUGGUAAGGUGGCUGUUUCAAAUCACAAAUUCUUCUUGGUUACGGAAGAGGGCCAAAAUCCUAGGGAACUCUAGGAAUACUGCUCACCCCUCAAAUAUCGGCAAGUAACAGGCUGUAAAUUCCUUGAGUGGUGUGCUUGCAUUUGGGGGGUGGGGAAAGAAAAAUAAGACACCCCUUGCAGAGGAUAGGUAUGAUAAAUAGGGACAAUCCAGUGAUUCAAUCUCUAUCUUACAGCUGCUUGAUACUGAAUAUGAGACAAGUUUGGGUUGGCUACUGAGAAUGAGAGGCAAUAGCCUGCUGGUGGCUUACUUGCCUCCUAACGCAGUGGUCAAGAGUGAAAAACUGCUUUUGCCAUUUAACGAUGCUCUUUUUCAUACUGACAGAGUAGGCGACGGCAAAUAGUUUUUUGUGAAUUGUGAUUUAUGACAACCAGUAAGUUGCUUUUUCACUAGUAUGAUGAGGAUCUGGCACCUUGUGUUGCUAUACCAUACAGUCAAGGUUUUGUAGUUGCAUCAUGAUUGGGUUUACCUGCCCAUGGCCAGAACAGAGUGUGCUGUUCUGUAUUACCCCAGGUAUAUUGCAUGCCAUAGUAAGAGUAUUAUGAACAUGUUAAGAUGGACCAUUUUGAUACAAACUAGUGUCCAUUUUUCCUGAUAUGCUCUGUAGUACUUAUUACUGCAGGUACAAAUUUGCUUUUUUAUUUUUGGAGAAGGAAAAUUGUUUUCUAUGAUCCGAAUUAGUAUUUGCAUGAAUGAUGCUACAAAUCUGCAUUAAAGUUGUUGCUUAUUUAUAAUUGAAUAAAAGAAAGGAGUAAAGCAUGUUACAGAAUUUACAAGAAAAGGGAGGAAAUUUCCCUGGACUUGAGACAGAAAAUAGUUGCCACAUUACUAGAAGGCUCUUCACCACUAUUCUUAUUCAUUCUUAAGUACUUUCUUUCUGAAAAACAAUUAGGUUUUACCAUUUCGUGUUUUAUUGUCAAACAGCCUUGCAAUUGCAAAAGAAG